ensembl:lncRNA
UUCACAUUAAAUUUGUCGGUGUCUGGUUUUUGGCGCAAGAUACUAACAACAUAAGUUGAGGCUAAAUUCCAGUGUGUUAGAUAAACUGCUUCUACCAAGAAACUAAUAAUACACUACGUUGAGCUAGUUGCAGUUUAAUUGCUUCUACCAAGAAACUAAUAAUAUACUACGUUGAGCUAGUUGCAGCCCACUUUACCUUCCACAUUUAACUUUGUCUAAGACUGGCUUCUGUAGCAAUAAUACAUUAGAAUCUUUUGGAGACGCGGCCAUAAGUCCAGUACAUUGAAUAGAGGUUUUGAAGUUGGUUUAUGGUGUCGGUUAUAAGCCCUCGUUGAUGCGGUCAUAAAAUUAGUAUAAAGGUUAAGCAGAUACUGGCUUACGGUGUCGGUUAAGCGCCAGCAACGCGUAAUGCGAAACACGUCCGUAGGUUUUGGUUUAUGAUGCGGCCAUGUUCUGGUGAUGCGGUCGUAAGUGCAGUAGUGAGGGGUUGCUGGUUUCAGCACAUUGAAUAGAGGUUAGACGGUGGUUUAUGGUGUCGGUUAAGCCUCGAGGGCUGCGGCCAUAAAAUUAUAAGUAAAAUAUUUACUUCACCCCGAUUAAAGGUAAAGUAGACGCUGGUUUAUGGUGUCGGUUUUGAGCCUCGGGGACGUGCAUCGCUUCUGUUUUAUGAUGCGAUUUUGCCCCGUGGUGGCGGUCAUAAGCGCAGUGAAAGGGGUACCUGGUAUAUGGUGCGGUUGUGCUUCGGAAGAGUUCUAACAGUUGAGUUCAGAGGUUUCUGUGUAAAUUUCCGCUGAUGAAAAGCGCUCUCUGUGGGUCUCACUGCUGGUGAGGCGCGCUCUGGGCGUUGUGUGUGUGAAGCGCGCUCUGGGUGUGUUUCCGUGUGUGAAGCGUGAACACAGUGACAGUGACGGUUGAUGUGUGAUUAGGAGGACACUAGAGUAAAGACACAUUUUAGGAUCAAAGGUUGAUACCUAGUGUACCUGUGGAAAUUAAUUUUGUUCAAGGUGUGGCAACCCCCCUGUCUGUGGACGCACAGGCCGGUCCAGCGUCGUCUGGGUGCCGAGGUGGUGACUUGGGAACUGAGGACUCCCGCAUAGCUACAGAAUAACACUGGAACGGCCGUGUAAUCACGGGUUCACAUUUAUUCUGGACUAGACCAAGACACAUUUUGCGAUCAAAGGUUGAGCUCUAGAGUAGUCAAAUAAAAAGGUUGAAUUCCUCGUUUCAGUGGUUGAAAUUGUUGUGUGCCUGUCCCCUGACGAGUGUGAAAUUAAAUAAAGAGGGAAUUUGGAGCCACAUAGAGAUAGACGGGCAUAAUUGGGUGUAUUACUCUGUGGUGUAAUAAAAAAUAAUUAAAAAAAAGGAGAGAGAGAUAGUAAGAGGUGUGUAGUGGAGAAUUAUUGAGAAGCAGAGAGAGGAAUGUGUUGGGAGACUGACGUGCAGUUUGCGCUGUCAAGGUGGGCGUGUUGCCUGCUUAUCUGUUUAACAGUGAUGAAAAUGAUAUUAAAUAAAUCUCUUAGUGUGUUAAUACAGGAAGCUACGGACCUGGACCAACUGCCCCCACAAGCACAGCGGCCGAAGCAAAAUUAUAGUAAUGGGAACCACACCCAGCAAGAAUCAGCAGCUGUGAAACAGACAGCAGCGAGGAGAGAAUUAGAGGAGAAAUUAAGAGAAGUUUUAACACAAAAUUGGGGCCAACAGACUUGUGGAGGUUGGGAAGGCGUCCGGAGCAUCACAACAAAAGGUGAAACAAAACACACACAAGCAGAGAAAUGUG